GACGAACGCUGGCGGCGUGCUUAACACAUGCAAGUCGAACGGAAAGGCCCUGCUUUUGUGGGGUGCUCGAGUGGCGAACGGGUGAGUAACACGUGGGUAACCUGCCCUUGACUUUGGGAUAACUUCAGGAAACUGGGGCUAAUACCGGAUAGGAGCUCCUGCUGCAUGGUGGGGGUUGGAAAGUUUCGGCGGUUGGGGAUGGACUCGCGGCUUAUCAGCUUGUUGGUGGGGUAGUGGCUUACCAAGGCUUUGACGGGUAGCCGGCCUGAGAGGGUGACCGGCCACAUUGGGACUGAGAUACGGCCCAGACUCCUACGGGAGGCGGCAGUGGGGAAUAUUGCACAAUGGGCGGAAGCCUGAUGCAGCAACGCCGCGUGCGGGAUGACGGCCUUCGGGUUGUAAACCGCUUUCGCCUGUGACGAAGCGUGAGUGACGGUAAUGGGUAAAGAAGCACCGGCUAACUACGUG
rnacentral:rRNA from 1 species